AGUGAAGUGCCUGAAACGAAAGGAUUAUUUUGAUAGAAUAAAUCAUGUAGACCACUACCUUCAUUA
rnacentral:tRNA from 1 species